AUGAACGCUAGCGGCAGGCCUAAUACAUGCAAGUCGAGGGGUAAGAGUCAGCUUGCUGACUACACGACCGGCGCACGGGUGCGUAACGCGUAUGCAACCUACCUUUAACAGAGGAAUAGCCCCGAGAAAUCGGGAUUAAUACCACAUAACAUUAUGAUAUGGCAUCAUAUUAUAAUUAAAACUCCGGUGGUUAAAGAUGGGCAUGCGUGACAUUAGCUAGUUGGUGAGGUAACUGCUCACCAAGGCUACGAUGUCUAGGGGUUCUGAGAGGAUGAUCCCCCACACUGGUACUGAGACACGGACCAGACUCCUACGGGAGGCAGCAGUAAGGAAUAUUGCGCAAUGGAGGCAACUCUGACGCAGCCAUGCCGCGUGCAGGAUUGAAGGCCUUAUGGGUCGUAAACUGCUUUUAUUUAGGAAUAAACUUUCGUACGUGUACGAAACUGAAGGUACUAAACGAAUAAGCACCGGCUAACUCCGUGCCAGCAGCCGCGGUAAUACGGAGGGUGCAAGCGUUAUCCGGAUUUAUUGGGUUUAAAGGGUGCGCAGGCGGACCAAUUAGUCAGUGGUGAAAUCCCGAGGCUCAACCUCGGAACUGCCAUUGAUACUGUUGGUCUUGAAUACGGUUGAAGUAGGCGGAAUGUAGCAUGUAGCGGUGAAAUGCAUAGAGAUGCUACAGAACACCGAUCGCGAAAGGCAGCUUACUAAACCGAUAUUGACGCUCAGGCACGAAAGCGUGGGGAGCGAACAGGAUUAGAUACCCUGGUAGUCCACGCCGUAAACUAUGAUCACUCGUUGUUGGCAAUACACAGUCAGUGACCAAGCGAAAGCGAUAAGUGAUCCACCUGGGGAGUACGAUCGCAAGGUUGAAACUCAAAGGAAUUGACGGGGGCCCGCACAAGCGGUGGAGCAUGUGGUUUAAUUCGAUGAUACGCGAGGAACCUUACCUGGGCUCAAAUGUAAGUUGACAGUUUCUGAAAGGGAAUUUUCUUCGGACAAUUUACAAGGUGCUGCAUGGUUGUCGUCAGCUCGUGCCGUGAGGUGUCGGGUUAAGUCCCAUAACGAGCGCAACCCCUACUCUUAGUUGCCAUCAGAUAAUGCUGGGGACUCUAGGAGAACUGCCUACGCAAGUAGAGAGGAAGGUGGGGAUGACGUCAAAUCAGCACGGCCCUUACGUCCAGGGCUACACACGUGCUACAAUGGCCGGUACAGAGGGCAGCCACCUGGUGACAGGGAGCGAAUCUCUAAAGCCGGUCUCAGUUCGGAUCGAAGUCUGCAACCCGACUUCGUGAAGCUGGAAUCGCUAGUAAUCGCGCAUCAGCCAUGGCGCGGUGAAUACGUUCCCGGGCCUUGUACACACCGCCCGUCAA
rnacentral:rRNA from 1 species